UACGUAGGUCCCGAGCGUUGUCCGGAUUUAUUGGGCGUAAAGCGAGCGCAGGUGGUUUAUUAAGUCUGGUGUAAAAGGCAGUGGCUCAACCAUUGUAUGCAUUGGAAACUGGUAGACUUGAGUGCAGGAGAGGAGAGUGGAAUUCCAUGUGUAGCGGUGAAAUGCGUAGAUAUAUGGAGGAACACCGGUGGCGAAAGCGGCUCUCUGGCCUGUAACUGACACUGAGACACGAAAGCGUGGGGAGCAAACAGG
rnacentral:rRNA from 1 species